UUCCCUACGGGGGGCAGCAGUCGGGAAUAUUGCGCAAUGGAGGAAACUCUGACGCAGUGACGCCGCGUGCAGGAAGAAGGUUUUCGGAUUGUAAACUGCUUUAGACAGGGAAGAAACAAGACAGUACCUGUAGAAUAAGCUCCGGCUAACUACGUGCCAGCAGCCGCGGUAAUACGUAGGGAGCAAGCGUUAUCCGGAUUUACUGGGUGUAAAGGGAGCGUAGACGGCGCGGCAAGUCUGAAGUGAAAGGCAGGGGCUUAACCCCUGAACUGCUUUGGAAACUGCCAUGCUAGAGUGCUGGAGAG
rnacentral:rRNA from 1 species